rnacentral:rRNA from 1 species
UCGGGAAUUUUGGGCAAUGGGGGAAACCCUGACCCAGCAACGCCGCGUGAAGGAUGAAGUAUUUCGGUAUGUAAACUUCGAAAGAAUAGGAAGAAUAAAUGACGGUACUAUUUAUAAGGUCCGGCUAACUACGUGCCAGCAGCCGCGGUAGUACGUAGGGACCAAGCGUUGUUCGGAUUUACUGGGCGUAAAGGGCGCGUAGGCGGCAAUUCAAGUCAUCUGUGAAAUCUCCGGGCUUAACUCGGAACGGUCAGAUGAUACUGCUUUGCUAGAGUGCAGAAGGGGCAAUCGGAAUUCUUGGUGUAGCGGUGAAAUGCGUAGAUAUCAAGAGGAACACCUGAGGUGAAGACGGGUUGCUGGGCUGACACUGACGCUGAGGCGCGAAAGCCAGGGGAGCAAACGGGAUUAGAUACCCCCGUAGUCCCUGAGCGGGCUGGCAAGGCGCAU